rnacentral:rRNA from 1 species
GGCGCGCGCCUACCAUGCAAGUUCGAGCGGAUGAUGGGAGCUUGCUCCCUGAUUCAGCGGCGGACGGGUGAGUAAUGCCUAGGAAUCUGCCUGGUAGUGGGGGACAACGUUUCGAAAGGAACGCUAAUACCGCAUACGUCCUACGGGAGAAAGCAGGGGACCUUCGGGCCUUGCGCUAUCAGAUGAGCCUAGGUCGGAUUAGCUAGUUGGUGGGGUAAAGGCCUACCAAGGCGACGUAUCCGUAACUGUUUGUCUGAGAGGGAUGAUCAGCUCACACUGGAACUGAGACACGGUCCCAGACUCUCCUACGGGAGGCAGCCAGUGGGGAAUAUAUUGGACAAUGGGCGAAAAAGCCUGAUCCCCAGCCCCAUGCCGCGUGUGUAGAAGAAGGUCUUCGGAUUGUAAAGCACUUUUAAGUUGGGAGGAAGGGCAGUAAGUUAAUACCCUUGCUGUUUUUGACGUUUACCAACAGAAAUAAAAGCACCGGGCUAACUUCGUGCCCAGCAGCCCGCGGUUAAUACGAAAGGGUGCCAAGGCGUUAAUCGGAAAUUACUGGGCGUAAAAGCGCGGCGUAGGUGGUUUUGGUAAGAUGGAUGUGAAAUUCCCCGGGCUUCAACCUGGGAACUGCAUUCCAUAACUGCCUGACUAGAGUACGGUAGAGGGUGGUGGAAUUUCCUGUGUAGCGGUGAAAUGCGUAGAUAUAGGAAGGAACACCAGUGGCGAAGGCGACCACCUGGACUGAUACUGACACUGAGGUGCGAAAGCGUGGGGAGCAAACAGGAUUAGAUACCCUGGUAGUCCACGCCGUAAACGAUGUCGACUAGCCGUUGGGAUCCUUGAGAUUUUAGUGGCGCAGCUAACGCGAUAAGUCGACCGCCUGGGGAAGUACGGCCGCAAGGUUAAAACUCAAAAUGAAUUGACGGGGGCCCGCCACAAGCCGGUGGGAGCAUGUGGGUUUAAAUUCGAAGCAAACCGCGAAAGAACCUUUACCUGGGCCCUUGACAAUGUCCCGGGAAUCUUGCAAGAGAUGACUGCGAGAGUGCCUUCGGGAAUCGGAACACCAGGGUGCUUGCAUGGGGCUGUCCGUCACCGCUCGUGUUCGUGAGAGAUGUUGGGGUUAAAGUCCCGUAACGAAGCGCAAACCCUUUGUCUCUUAGUUCACCAGCCACGUUAAGGGUGGGCACUCUAAGGAGACUGGCCGGGUGACAAACCGGAAAGGAAGGUGGGGAUGACGUCAAGUCAUCAUGGGCCCUUUACGGCCAGGGCUACACACGUGCUACAAUGGUCGGUACAAAGAGGGUUGCCAAGCCGCGAGGUGGAGCUAAUCCCAUAAAACCGAUCGUAGUCCGGAUCGCAGUCUGCAACUCGACUGCGUGAAGUCGGAAUCGCUAGUAAUCGUGAAUCAGAAUGUCACGGUGAAUACGUUCCCGGGCCUUGUACACACCGCCCGUCACACCAUGGGAAGUGGGUUGCUCCAGAAGUAGCUAGUCUA